rnacentral:rRNA from 1 species
UUUUGGUCCUAUCUUCAAGCGGAGGAAAAGAAACCACCAGGGACUGCCUCAGUAACGGCGAGUGAAGCGGCAAAAGCUCAAAUUUGAAAUCCCCCGGGAAUUGUAAUUUGAAGAGAUUUGGGUCCGGCCGGCGGGGGUUAAGUCCACUGGAAAGUGGCGCCACAGAGGGUGACAGCCCCGUGAACCCCUUCAAAGCCCUCAUCCCAGAUCUCCAAGAGUCGAGUUGUUUGGGAAUGCAGCUCUAAGUGGGUGGUAAAUUCCAUCUAAAGCUAAAUACCGGCGAGAGACCGAUAGCGAACAAGUACAGUGAUGGAAAGAUGAAAAGCACUUUGAAAAGAGAGUGAAAAAGUACGUGAAAUUGUUGAAAGGGAAGGGCUUGCAAGCAGACACUUAACUGGGCCAGCAUCGGGGCGGCGGGAAACAAAACCACCGGGGAAUGUACCUUUCGAGGAUUAUAACCCCGGUCUUUAUUUCCUUGUUGCCCCGAGGCCUGCAAUCUAAGGAUGCUGGCGUAAUGGUUGCAAGUCGCCCGUCUUGAAACACGGACCAAAAAUA